rnacentral:rRNA from 1 species
UUUCCGGAUUUAUUUGGGGUAAAGAGGAGUGCGGCGGUUUUUAGUUUUGAUGUAAAACAUUCGGCUUAACCGGAGAAGUGCAUCGGGAAACAAGAUAACUUGAGGGCCAGAAGAGGGUAGUGGAACUCCAUGUGUAGCGGUGGAAUGCGUAGAUAUAUGGAAGAACACCAGUGGCGAAGGCGGGUACCUGGUCUGCAACAGACGCUGAGACUGAAAGCAUGGGUAGCGAACAGGAUUAGAUACCAUGGUAGUCCCAUGCCGUAAACGAUGAGUGCUAGGUGUUGGAGGGUUUCCGCCCUUCAGUUGCCGGAGCUAACGCAUUAAGCACUCCGCCUGGGGAGUACGACCGCAAGGUUGAAACUCAAAGGAAUUGACGGGGGCCCGCACAAGCGGUGGAGCAUGUGGUUUAAUUCGAAGCUACGCGAAGAACCUUACCAGGUCUUGACAUCUUGCGCCAACCCUAGAGAUAGGGCGUUUCCUUCGGGAACGCAAUGACAGGUGGUGCAUGGUCGUCGUCAGCUCGUGUCGUGAGAUGUUGGGUUAAGUCCCGCAACGAGCGCAACCCUUGUUACUAGUUGCCAGCAUUAAGUUGGGCACUCUAGUGAGACCGCCGGUGACGAAACCGGAGGAAGGUGGGGACGACGUCAGAUCAUCAUGCCCCUUAUGACCUGGGCUACACACGUGCUACAAUGGACGGUACAACGAGUCGCGAACUCGCGAGGGCAAGCAAAUCUCUUAAAACCGUUCUCAGUUCGGACUGCAGGCUGCAACUCGCCUGCACGAAGUCGGAAUCGCUAGUAAUCGCGGAUCAGCAUGCCGCGGUGAAUACGUUCCCGGGCCUUGUACACACCGCCCGACGCGCCAUGAGAGUUGUAAUAUACAUCAUACCGUUUUUGCUACCUUAAUGAGGGACCCCCAAUAU